AGUCGAGGGGUACAGGUAAUAGUUUACUAUUUUGCUGGCGACCGGCGCACGGGUGAGUAACGCGUAUACAAUUUACCUUUUACAGGAGGAUAGCCCAGAGAAAUUUGGAUUAAUACUCCAUGGUAUUACGAGAUCGCAUGGUUUUGUAAUUAAAGUUUCGGCGGUAAAAGAUGAGUAUGCGUCCUAUUAGCUAGUUGGUAAGGUAACGGCUUACCAAGGCGACGAUAGGUAGGGGUCCUGAGAGGGAGAUCCCCCACACUGGUACUGAGACACGGACCAGACUCCUACGGGAGGCAGCAGUGAGGAAUAUUGGUCAAUGGAGGCAACUCUGAACCAGCCAUGCCGCGUGCAGGAAGACUGCCCUAUGGGUUGUAAACUGCUUUUAUACAGGAAGAAACUUAUCCACGUGUGGAUAACUGACGGUACUGUACGAAUAAGGACCGGCUAACUCCGUGCCAGCAGCCGCGGUAAUACGGAGGGUCCAAGCGUUAUCCGGAAUCAUUGGGUUUAAAGGGUCCGUAGGCGGGCAAUUAAGUCAGAGGUGAAAUCCCACAGCUCAACUGUGGAACUGCCUUUGAUACUGGUUGUCUUGAGUUACAGUGAAGUAGAUAGAAUAUGUAGUGUAGCGGUGAAAUGCAUAGAUAUUACAUAGAAUACCGAUUGCGAAGGCAGUCUACUAACUGUCGACUGACGCUAAGGGACGAAAGCGUGGGGAGCGAACAGGAUUAGAUACCCUGGUA
rnacentral:rRNA from 1 species